rnacentral:tRNA from 1 species
GAUGAGGUGGCUGAGCACGGUAAAGCAGCAGUUUGCUAAAUUGUCGGACAAGAGUUUCGCAUGGGUUCAAAUCCCAUUCUCAUCG